rnacentral:rRNA from 1 species
UACGUAGGGGGCAAGCGUUGUCCGGAAUUAUUGGGCGUAAAGAGCGCGUAGGCGGUCCGAUAAGUCGGCUGUGAAAGCGUACGGCUCAACCGUAUUUUGUCGGUAGAAACUGCAGGACUUGAGGCUGGGAGGGGCUGGUGGAAUUCCCUGUGUAGCGGUGAAAUGCGUAGAUAUCUGGAGGAAUACCGGUGGCGAAGGCGGCAUCCUGGACCGGCAUUGACGCUGAGGAGCGAAAGCCAGGGGAGCAAAGCGGG